UUGUUUUAUUUUUAUUCUGAAUGAAAACGUAAUAUUAUGACGUAUUUCCGGUGAAACAAGCCUCAGAACAUCCGGUCGGGCCGUGUUUCAUAUCCAGGGGUAUAUAGUAUCUAUGGUGCCAUCGAGGGGUUCGCAACGGGCUUGUAAUCUCGUAGAAACUCUUUGGUAAUCCAGUAAUCCAAAAGAUAAUCUUGGAAUAAUCCAGUAAUCUUGGAAGAAUUCAGUAAUCUGUAAUCCAGGAUUUAACAAAUUUACUGAAAAAUCCUAAUAAUAAUUUUGAGUAUCCAAAAUUAAAACCCCACCCCUUGGUUUUAUAAAAAGUUAUUAAAACCACACCCAUUAUUAAUUAAUAAGGUGUGGCUCAAAACCAAAUUAAUCAACUUGUAAUCCUUGGUAAUCCAAGUAAUCCAGCUUGUAAUCCUUGGUAAUCCAAGUAAUCCAGCUUGUAAUCCCUGGUAAUCCAAAGAAUCUACCUAUAAUCUUGGUAAUCCACUCAUAAUCUUGGAAUUCUCCUGAGAUUUUCGUCCCGUUGCGAACCCCUCGGGUGCCAUAGAUAUUAGAGUUACAGGGAUAGGAAACUUCCGUUCGCGGGAAAUCAAGCUACCUUCCCCAUACCGUAUUAAUUCUUUCUAAUUGUCAGUAUCUUUCAUUUUUACACUGAGUAGAGGUGGGCGAUACCAGAAAUUUUGAAUCGAUACCGAUACCAAGUAGUCUGAGUCUCAGUAUCGAUGGUAUCGAGUAGUGAAUGAGUAGUCACUACUGCGCAUGCGCAAAUAAGUUAUAAUUAGUUAUAAAUAAAAAUGAAAAGAAAUAACCCACCAUUUUUGUAAUUAUUAAAGGGCGUGGCCACAACUAUGACGUCAAAAAUAGGUGUGGUAGGGCGUGGUUACUCACUACUCGAUACCAGGAUUUGGUAUCGAGUACUUGGUAUCGGAGGCCUGGUAUCGGAUAUAUGAGUACUUUGGUAUCAUAUCGCCCACCUCUAACACUGAGCAAUGGUGGCUAGUUUUUGAUGUUGCAGGUCUUUCUCAUCGUCUUUCAGCCUGUUCAGGUCCACUGUAUCAACUUUAAAAUGAACUUGUAAUGGAGCCAUGUCUGUAUUCUUCCUUUAUUUUAGCUAUCUGAUGUUUAUUUUAUUAUUUGGCUCCUCAAAAUUAGAAUGUUGAUGAUGCAUCACUUUAUUUCAUGUGUCUCAAACAAAAAUUUUUUUGAGGUACUUAGAGUAUUUUAAAACAA